GACGAACGCUGGCGGCGCGCCUAACACAUGCAAGUCGAACGAGAGAGAGGGAGCUUGCUUCUUCAAUCGAGUGGCGAACGGGUGAGUAACGCGUGAGGAACCUGCCUCAAAGAGGGGGACAACAGUUGGAAACGACUGCUAAUACCGCAUAAGCCCACAGCUCGGCAUCGAGCAGAGGGAAAAGGAGCAAUCCGCUUUGAGACGGCCUCGCGUCCGAUUAGCUAGUUGGUGAGGUAAUGGCCCACCAAGGCGACGAUCGGUAGCCGGACUGAGAGGUUGAACGGCCACAUUGGGACUGAGACACGGCCCAGACUCCUACGGGAGGCAGCAGUGGGGAAUAUUGCACAAUGGGGGAAACCCUGAUGCAGCGACGCCGCGUGGAGGAAGAAGGUCUUCGGAUUGUAAACUCCUGUUGUUGAGGAAGAUA
rnacentral:rRNA from 1 species